rnacentral:rRNA from 1 species
AUUGAACGCUGGCGGCAGGCCUAACACAUGCAAGUCGAGCGGGGUUUUCGGACCUAGCGGCGGACGGGUGAGUAAUGCGUAGGAAGCUACCCGAUAGAGGGGGAUACCAGUUGGAAACGACUGUUAAUACCGCAUAAUGUCUACGGACCAAAGUGUGGGACCUUCGGGCCACAUGCUAUCGGAUGCGCCUGCGUGGGAUUAGCUAGUUGGUGAGGUAAUGGGUCACCAAGGCGACGAUCCCUAGCUGGUUUGAGAGGAUGAUCAGCCACACUGGAACCGAGACCCGGUCCAGACUCCUACGGGAGGCAGCAGUGGGGAAUAUUGGACAAUGGGCGCAAGCCUGAUCCAGCCAUGCCGCGGGUGUGAAGAAGGCCUUCGGGUUGUAAAGCACUUUCAGUAGGGAGGAAGCGUUGUGUGUUAAUAGUACACAGCGUUGACGUUACCUACAGAAGAAGCACCGGCUAACUCUGUGCCAGCCGCCGCAGUAACAC